GGAGGUUACUGCUAUCGGUGUUCGCCUAACCCAUGCGAGUCAUAUGUUCUUCGUGAACAUGGCGUACUGCUCAGUAACACGUGAAUAACCUGCCCUUGGGACCGGCAUAACCCCGGGAAACUGGGGAUAAUUCCGGAUACCGCAUAUAUGCUGGAAUGCUUUAUGCGUGAAAUGGAUUCGUCUGCCCAAGGAUGGGUCUGCGGCCUAUCAGGUAGUAGUGGGUGUAAUGUACCUACUACCCUACAACGGGUACGGGUUGUGAAAGCAAAAGCCCGGAAAUGGAUUCUGAAACAUGAAUCCAGGCCCUACGGGGCGCACCAGGCGCGAAAACUUUACAAUGCGGGAAACCGUGAUAAGGGGACACCGAGUGCCAGCAACAUUUGUUGGCUGUCCAGGUGUGUAAACUACACCUGUUAGCAAGGGCCGGGCAAAACCGGUGC
rnacentral:rRNA from 1 species